rnacentral:rRNA from 1 species
CCUACGGGUGGCAGCAGUGAGGAAUAUUGGUCAAUGGGCGAGAGCCUGAACCAGCCAAGUCGCGUGAGGGAGUACUGCCCUAUGGGUUGUAAACCUCUUUUGUCGGGGAGCAAAAGCCGGACGUGUCCGGCUGUGAGAGUACCCGAAGAAAAAGCAUCGGCUAACUCCGUGCCAGCAGCCGCGGUAAUACGGAGGAUGCGAGCGUUAUCCGGAUUUAUUGGGUUUAAAGGGUGCGCAGGCGGAUUUGUAAGUCAGCGGUAAAAUCGUGGGGCGCAACCCCAUCCAGCCGUUGAAACUGGGGAUCUAGAGUGUGCGAGAGGUAUGCGGAAUGCGUGGUGUAGCGGCGAAAUGCAUAGAUAUCACGCAGAACCCCGAUUGCGAAGGCAGCAUACCGGUGCACAACUGACGCUCAGGCACGAAAGCGUGGGUAUCGAACAGGAUUAGAUACCCCGGUAGUC